rnacentral:rRNA from 1 species
GCCGCGGUAAUACGGAGGAUGCGAGCGUUAUCCGGAUUUAUUGGGUUUAAAGGGUGCGUAGGCGGUUACUUAAGUCAGCGGUCAAAUGGCGGGGCUCAACCCCGUCCGGCCGUUGAAACUGGGGGCCUUGAGUGGGCGAGAAGAAGGCGGAAUGCGUGGUGUAGCGGUGAAAUGCAUAGAUAUCACGCAGAACCCCGAUUGCGAAGGCAGCCUUCCGGCGCCCUACUGACGCUGAGGCACGAAAGUGCGGGGAUCGAACAG